CUAGAGCGGAUAAUACCUCAUGAGUAUGAAAGCAAAGACAAACCUAUCUGACCCACGAGCUCUUGAUCAGAAUACUAUAUAUUAUAAAAGUAAUUAAUAGUGGGAGAACCACCUAUUGGAGUUUCUCACGUUGGGCAGCUUAGAAACGUCUCUUUAAAGUUCAAGGAUGGGUACAUGACUCACAAGAGAAUAGGGGUGAUAAUUGUAAACGACAACUCAAUACGCAUAGCGUGACGUAUGUGGUUAUACUAUUUUCCUUGUUUACUUUUUCUCUACAACCGACGCGUAAUUGAAAGUAUAAUAUGCAGC
rnacentral:lncRNA from 1 species